GCUCUUUCGCAAGGGAAGAAACGAUGCAGUCGAAUAAACUGUGUUAAUGACGGUACCUUGAUAAGAAGCACCGGCUAACUACGUGCCAGCAGCCGCGGUAAUACGUAGGGUGCAAGCGUUAAUCGGAAUUACUGGGCGUAAAGCGUGCGCAGGCGGUUUUGUAAGUCAGAUGUGAAAUCCCCGAGCUCAACUUGGGAACUGCGUUUGAAACUACAAGACUAGAAUAUGUCAGAGGGGGGUAGAAUUCCACGUGUAGCAGUGAAAUGCGUAGAGAUGUGGAGGAAUACCAAUGGCGAAGGCAGCCCCCUGGGAUAAUAUUGACGCUCAUGCACGAAAGCGUGGGGAGCAAACAGGAUUAGAUACCCUGGUAGUCCACGCCCUAAACGAUGUCUACUAGUUGUUGGUGGAGUAAAAUCCAUGAGUAACGCAGCUAACGCGUGAAGUAGACCGCCUGGGGAGUACGGUCGCAAGAUUAAAACUCAAAGGAAUUGACGGA
rnacentral:rRNA from 1 species